UACGUAGGGACCAAGCGUUGUUCGGAUUUACUGGGCGUAAAGGGCGCGUAGGCGGCAUGACAAGUCACUUGUGAAAUCUCCGGGCUUAACUCGGAACGGUCAAGUGAUACUGUCGCGCUAGAGUGCGGAGGGGGCAAUCAGAAUUCUUGGUGUAGCGGUGAAAUGCGUAGAUAUCAAGAGGAAUACCUGAGGUGAAGACGGGUUGCUAGGCCGACACUGACGCUGAAGCGCGAAAGCCAGGGGAGCAAACGGG
rnacentral:rRNA from 1 species